GGUCUCUCGGUGCUUAGCACAGGCUGUGUUCUUAUGCUGACACUACAGAAAGAGGAGGCGAAGUAAACCCACCCGUAUACAACUCAGCCCAGACCCUUUGUCUGGUGUAUAUUCUGAAUGGGUGGCAUGG